rnacentral:rRNA from 1 species
AAGUNGGAACAAGGUUUCNGUAGGUGAACCUGCGGAAGGAUCAUUAUUGAAUAAUUCUUGAU